rnacentral:tRNA from 1 species
GUGCACUUAGCAUAGUUGGUAAGAGCUUCAGUCUCAAAAGUUGAGGUCCCAGGUUUGAUUUCUGGAGUGCACA